GAAUGGAGGGAUGGUGAGGAAAGGAAGAAAGAAAGGAGGAUGGGGAAAGAGAAACCCAAAGAGGGGCGGGGGAGUGGGAAGGAAAGCUAUGAUGUAUGGACGCUCGCCAGCCACCCAGCUAAGCGCUCCAUCACCCCCAAGCCUGCAUCCCUCCCUCCCAGGUCUAGAGACGCGGGGCUCCCGGGCGCUGACAGCCCUCCCGGUGACCCCAGCGCGGGCAACCCCGUGAUGUCCAAAGUAGCCCACUGCAGCCAGCCCAUCCGAGCCCGCCACUCCCUGGACCGCGCUCGCCUCCCCGCCCCCGACUUCUCCCGGCGCCCCCAUCUCUAGUCUCGGGAAAAAGCCGAGAAGAGCGCAGCAAAGGGGAGGGGGGAAAUCCAAAAGGGGAGGGAGCGGGAGCGGGGGAGGCAACAAAAAAUUUUUUAUUAAUCAUCCGAUAAUGGAUCCUGGGGAAGCACCAGGGGAGGGGACCCGUGGUAAGCACCUGGGAAGGAACACGCUGUUGCCAAUACCCCGGGCUCCGCGGGGCUGGGCGAUUUUCCACAAAAGGAACUUUGGAAGGAGCGCAGCGGUUUGCAAUGGAAGAGAAAUAGAUGGCAGCGUUACCUGGCCGAGGUCAUGCCCGCGGGCCGCCGAAAUCCUCAGAUGCUGAUGGUGCUACAGAUCCAGGGACCACAGUUUGAGAAAUACUGUCCCAUUAUGUACCAGGCCCUUCAAUUAAACACUGAGAAUCUUGAGAACUGUUUUGUUUUCAAAAGGAACCUAUCCCAACAGAAAACCAAAUUUUGUACUUCUAUCAAUAAAACAACUUAUAAGAAGAAAA